GCCCUGUGGUUACUGGAUGCUGUUGUGCGAGAACAGCUCUCCAGUGGAUGCAUGGAGCUAGAGCAAACCUGUGAUCUGUACAUGGAAGCUGUUUCUCUUCUGUAGCCAGCAUAGCCCUGUCACUGAUAAUGUU